rnacentral:rRNA from 1 species
AGAGUAUGAUAGAGGAAAGCAGAAUUUCUAGUGUAGAGGUGAAAUUCGUAGAUAUUAGAAAGAAUACCAAUUGCGAAGGCAGCUUUCUGGAUCAUUACUGACACUGAGGAACGAAAGCAUGGGUAGCGAAGAGGAUUAGAUACCCUCGUAGUCCAUGCCGUAAACGAUGUGUGUUAGACGUUGGAAAUUUAUUUUCAGUGUCGCAGCGAAAGCGAUAAACACACCGCCUGGGGAGUACGACCGCAAGGUUAAAACUCAAAUGAAUUGACGGGGACCCGCACAAGUAGUGGAGCAUGUGGUUUAAUUCGAAGAUACGCGCAGAACCUUACCAACACUUGACAUGUUCGUCGCGACUCUAAGAGAUUAGAGUUUUCGGUUCGGCCGGACGAAACACAGUGCUGCAUGGCUGUCGUCAGCUCGUGUCGUGAGAUGUUGGGUAAGUCCGCACGAGCGCACCCUCACUUUAGUUGCAUCAUAAGUUGGCACUCUGAAGACUGCCAGUGAUAAGCUGGAGAAGUGGGAUGACGUCAGUCUCAUGGCCUUACGUGUGGGCUACACACGUGCUACAUGUAUCUACACAGGAGCAGACUGCGAGUCAGCAAUCUUAAAGAACUCAGUCGAUGCCUCUGCACUCAUGCUGAGUGGAUACUAUAUCGUGAUCACUGCACGUGAUGCGUCCGGUCUGUCCACCGCCGUCACCAUGGAGUGUCUACUAGCAGUUCAACCUGACCCGAUAGUAGGACUGGUGAGUCGUACAGUAGGCGAUCGUACUGCGAUAUCUACGAGUAUCGACUGGACAGAAAGGUUUCGGGACAUGACGGCCCUCUACGGACCUUCUCCGAGAACUACCAGCUCUCCCCCGCUCGCCCAGUCCUUGAUCCCUCGCCCGAAUUGGCGUCCCUGGUGAUCCUCAACUUGCACUGGGCUACCCACAUCCGGGCCCGAUUUCAAUCUCGUACUCUGGUUCGCAGAACGUUCCCGCCAU